CUGGUAAGUUUAUUUAUUUUAACUUUGUAAUAAGACUUUCAUAGCAAGGUAAUUAUGAAAAUAAUAAAUUAUUAUGAUUUUUUUUUUUUAGUACCACCAUUAUCUGUUUCAGCUGUUCCACCUUCCACUGAUCUAACUGUGCCAUCAUCAUCUACUCCAACUGUGCCAUCAUCUGCUCUAACUGGUUAGUAUAUAUGUUUCAACUCUGCAAUAUGAUUUUAAAUAAAAU
rnacentral:lncRNA from 1 species